UACGUAGGGGGCAAGCGUUGUCCGGAAUCAUUGGGCGUAAAGAGCGUGUAGGCGGCUUGGUAAGUCCGCUGUGAAAGUCCAGGGCUCAACCCUGGAAUGCCGGUGGAAACUGCCAAGCUAGAGUCCGGAAGAGGCGAGUGGAAUCCUGGUGUAGCGGUGAAAUGCGCAGAUAUCAGGAGGAACACCAAUGGCGAAGGCAGCUCGCUGGGACGGUACUGACGCUGAGACGCGAAAGCGUGGGGAGCAAACAGG
rnacentral:rRNA from 1 species